rnacentral:rRNA from 1 species
AUUGAACGCUGGCGGCAUGCUUUACACAUGCAAGUCGAACGGCAGCGCGGGCUUCGGCCUGGCGGCGAGUGGCGAACGGGUGAGUAAUGCAUAGGAACGUGCCCAGUCGUGGGGGAUAGCCCGGCGAAAGCCGGAUUAAUAUCGCAUACGAUCUGAGGGUGAAAGGGAGGGACCAAAAGUCAUCGCGCGAUUUGAGCGCCCGUUGUCGGAUUAGCUAGUUGGUGGGGUAAAGGCUUACCAAGGCGACGAUCCGUAGCUGGGCUGAGAGGACGACCAGCCACACUGGGACUGAGACACGGCCCAGACUCCUACGGGAGGCAGCAGUGGGGAAUUUUGGACAAUGGGGGCAACCCUGAUCCAGCCAUGCCGCGUGCGGGAAGAAGGCCUUCGGGUUGUAAACCGCUUUUGUUCGGGAAGAAAUCCUCUGGGCUAAUCCACCGGGGGGAUGACGGUACCGGAAGAAUAAGCACCGGCUAACUACGUG